rnacentral:rRNA from 1 species
AGUGAACGCUGGCGGUAGGCCUAACACAUGCGAGUCGAACGGCAGCACAGUAAGAGCUUGCUCUUACGGGUGGCGAGUGGCGGACGGGUGAGGAAUACAUCGGAAUCUACUUUUUCGUGGGGGAUAACGUAGGGAAACUUACGCUAAUACCGCAUACGACCUACGGGUGAAAGCAGGGGAUCUUCGGACCUUGCGCGAUUGAAUGAGCCGAUGUCGGAUUAGCUAGUUGGCGGGGUAAAGGCCCACCAAGGCGACGAUCCGUAGCUGGUCUGAGAGGAUGAUCAGCCACACUGGAACUGAGACACGGUCCAGUCUCCUACGGGAGGCAGCAGUGGGGAAUAUUGGACAAUGGGCGCAAGCCUGAUCCAGCCAUACCGCGUGGGUGAAGAAGGCCUUCGGGUUGUAAAGCCCUUUUGUUGGGAAAGAAAAGCAGCAGGUUAAUACCCCGCUGUUCUGACGGUACCCAAAGAAUAAGCACCGGCUAACUUCGUG